GUUUUGAGUAGUUUUUGUGUGAAAUUUAUAUUUUUUCUACAGAAAUAUUACAGUUUGUUCAAAACACUAUUUUCAACAUGAAAUCAUUUUUGCACAUUUUGGCUAAACCCUGCUAAAGUGCAUAAAAUCGGCAGAACACAUACAUUUAGAUUUUUAAGUUGUUCAGUAAUCAAAACAACAUUGUCUCUUGUCCAGGAGCCUACAAUAAUUUUUGUCGUUCUUCCAUUUUCAGAGUGAGGCAACUGUCUCAGAUGGCAGAAGUUAAGGAUGAGUAUUGAUAUGGCCUUCAGCCAUUCCUCCAAAGAUUCCUGGCUAGCAGUUUGAUGGAGGACAGAGCAGUGUGUGGAACACAGGAUCUUCUCUGCCAAUGCUAAACUAGCCCUUUGGCCUUGAGGCCAGUGGAAGUCACAAUUCCAUUGCCAAUAUUCAAAUUUCUAUCAGCUAUCACUUGGAACAAAAUUAGAGGUGUGUAACUGUGGAAGACUAUGGGACUGCAUUAGAGACCUCUAAGAGACUUUGGAAUGCUCACGCCCAACUGCACCUGCUCUUGCAAUAAACAACCACAAUUUGUUGUUGAAGGCUUUCAUGGCUGGAAUCACUGGGCUGCUGUGAGUUUUUCGGGCUGUAUGGCCAUGUUCCAGAAGCAUUCUUUCCUGAAGUUUCACCCACAUCUAUGGUAGGCAUCCUCAGAAGUUGUGAGGCAUCAACAAUUGUCCCCAAAACUUUCCAAUCCCCCUGUAAGAGGCAUGGAAACAUGUUAGGGGCCUUACUGAGGCUCUAGGCAGUAUUUUGAGGCAAAUUAUGUUUUUAUCGAGGAGAGGUGGGUAAGAAAUAAAAAUUCUUCUUAUUCUUCUUCCGCCGCCGCCGCCGCCGCCUCCUCCUCCUCCUCCUCCUCCUCCUCCUCCUCACUGGGAGGGACUAAAGGGGCUCCAAACAUAGUGGGACAGAACUUCACAUCUCCUAGAUACCGUUUCUGAACAUUUUGAACAACCUCCUUUGAUCCCUAGGGUUUCAGGGGGAUCAUAAACAUAGUUUGAGGGCAGUGGUUCCCAACCUAUGGUCCUCCAGUUGUUUUGGACUUCAAUUUCCAGAAAUCCAAACCAGCUUCCCAGUUGUUAGUAAUUGUGGGAGCUGAAGUCCAAAGCAACUGAAGGACCAAAGGUUGGGAACCACUCUUCUAGGGGAUCCACACUUUGUUCACCCCAGACUCAAUUAAUAAAAAGCUGGAUUAAAAUGACCUACCAUGAACUGCUAUUGUAAUUGUGAAGACUGGGGUUGGGGAAUCCCUCUGAAGCUCUAGGUAUAAAAAUGUGAUUAAUAAAAUAUAUUACAAAAUGUGGACAUUGUUUUAAAUGAAAUUUAGGAAACAACUGUAGGAAAAGUCUAGGAAACAACUUUCUCUGAGAAAAUAAAAUAUUUUGCCAUUA